rnacentral:rRNA from 1 species
AUAACUUCGGGAAACCGGAGCUAAUACCGGAUAAUAUUUUGAACCGCAUGGUUCAAAAGUGAAAGACGGUCUUGCUGUCACUUAUAGAUGGAUCCGCGCUGCAUUAGCUAGUUGGUAAGGUAACGGCUUACCAAGGCAACGAUGCAUAGCCGACCUGAGAGGGUGAUCGGCCACACUGGAACUGAGACACGGUCCAGACUCCUACGGGAGGCAGCAGUAGGGAAUCUUCCGCAAUGGGCGAAAGCCUGACGGAGCAACGCCGCGUGAGUGAUGAAGGUCUUCGGAUCGUAAAACUCUGUUAUUAGGGAAGAACAUAUGUGUAAGUAACUGUGCACAUCUUGACGGUACCUAAUCAGAAAGCCACGGCUAACUACGUGCCAGCAGCCGCGGUAAUACGUAGGUGGCAAGCGUUAUCCGGAAUUAUUGGGCGUAAAGCGCGCGUAGGCGGUUUUUUAAGUCUGAUGUGAAAGCCCACGGCUCAACCGUGGAGGGUCAUUGGAAACUGGAAAACUUGAGUGCAGAAGAGGAAAGUGGAAUUCCAUGUGUAGCGGUGAAAUGCGCAGAGAUAUGGAGGAACACCAGUGGCGAAGGCGACUUUCUGGUCUGUAACUGACGCUGAUGUGCGAAAGCGUGGGGAUCAAACAGGAUUAGAUACCCUGGUAGUCCACGCCGUAAACGAUGAGUGCUAAGUGUUAGGGGGUUUCCGCCCCUUAGUGCUGCAGCUAACGCAUUAAGCACUCCGCCUGGGGAGUACGACCGCAAGGUUGAAACUCAAAGGAAUUGACGGGGACCCGCACAAGCGGUGGAGCAUGUGGUUUAAUUCGAAGCAACGCGAAGAACCUUACCAAAUCUUGACAUCCUUUGACAACUCUAGAGAUAGAGCCUUCCCCUUCGGGGGACAAAGUGACAGGUGGUGCAUGGUUGUCGUCAGCUCGUGUCGUGAGAUGUUGGGUUAAGUCCCGCAACGAGCGCAACCCUUAAGCUUAGUUGCCAUCAUUAAGUUGGGCACUCUAAGUUGACUGCCGGUGACAAACCGGAGGAAGGUGGGGAUGACGUCAAAUCAUCAUGCCCCUUAUGAUUUGGGCUACACACGUGCUACAAUGGACAAUACAAAGGGCAGCGAAACCGCGAGGUCAAGCAAAUCCCAUAAAGUUGUUCUCAGUUCGGAUUGUAGUCUGCAACUCGACUACAUGAAGCUGGAAUCGCUAGUAAUCGUAGAUCAGCAUGCUACGGUGAAUACGUUCCCGGGUCUUGUACACACCGCCCGUCACACCACGAGAGUUUGUAACACCCGAAGCCGGUGGAGUAACCUUUUAGGAGCUAGCCGUCGAAGGUGGGACAAAUGAUUGGGGUGAAGUCGUAACAAGGUAGCCGUAUCGGAAGGUGCGGCUGGAUCACCUCCUUU